rnacentral:rRNA from 1 species
GACAGAGGGUGCAAACGUUGCUCGGAAUUACAGGGCGUAAAGCGCGUGUAGGUGGAUUGGUGUGUCAGAUGUGAAAGCCCUGGGCUCAACCCAGGAACUGCACCUGAAACUACCAGUCUUGAGUGGUGGAGAGGGAAGUGGAAUUCCUGGUGUAGAGGUGAAAUUCGUAGAUAUCAGGAGGAACACCAGUGGCGAAGGCGGCUUCCUGGACACUAACUGACGCUGAGACGCGAAAGCGUGGGGAGCAAACAGG